UACGUAGGGGGCAAGCGUUGUCCGGAUUUACUGGGCGUAAAGAGCGUGUAGGCGGCCAAAUAGGUCCGCUGUGAAAACUGGAGGCUCAACUUCCAGACGUCGACGGAAACCGUGUGGCUAGAGUCCGGAAGAGGAGAGUGGAAUUCCUGGUGUAGCGGUGAAAUGCGCAGAUAUCAGGAAGAACACCAAUGGCGAAGGCAGCUCUCUGGGACGGUACUGACGCUGAGACGCGAAAGCGUGGGGAGCGAACAGG
rnacentral:rRNA from 1 species